rnacentral:lncRNA from 1 species
UCCAGCUAAGGUCGACUCGAUCGACACGCCUUUCUUCAUUCAGCACGGCUCCGCUGACAAGCUCUGCGACAUUGGAGGGUCCGAAGAUUUCUACAGAAGGCGCUCACUAAGGACCAAGAGCUUCAAGGUCUACAAGGACUGCUACCAUAGCCUACUCACUGAACCCGACGAAAUGGCGCAACAGGUUCUUCAGGAUAUCGCCAAUUGGUACACAGCCAGGAUACCAUCGUGAUCGGAAGGUCAACAGCUUCCGAUAUCUACGGCCGAUCAAAGAGAUAGCGAGGUGUGCGUGAAGAAGAUACUGUGAUGUCUAGACAAUUCACAUAGCAGUACGCUUUCUGAGGAACUAUUUUUCCUUGAACUCGUGGGAUCGUUGGCCUUGUGGGAAGAAUAGAAUACGUCCACUAUAUGCACAAACUGAGCAACAAAGGAAAAAUACCCGGUGAAGGUGUUUUGCAAAUAAUGGCAGCUAAGUGUGGCUGCAAAACGAUGCAUUACGCAAGGACCGUCCCUAAAGAGAUAGCAAUACACGAUUUCGAUGCUCUGUACCCUCCAAAGUAAGCAUACA